GGGAAUCUUCCGCAAUGGGCGAAAGCCUGACGGAGCAAUACCGCGUGAGGGAUGAAGGAUUUUGGUCUGUAAACCUCUUUUCUCAAGAAAGAAGUUCUGACGGUACUUGAGGAAUAAGCAUCGGCUAACUCCGUGCCAGCAGCCGCGGUAAGACGGGGGAUGCAAGCGUUAUCCGGAAUGAUUGGGCGUAAAGCGCCUGUAGGUUGUUUAUUAAGUCCGUUGUUAAAGCCUAGGGCUUAACCCUAGAAAAGCAAUGGAAACUAGUAGACUAGAGUAUGGCAGGGGUAGAGGGAAUUUCUAGUGUAGCGGUGAAAUGCGUAGAUAUUAGAAAGACCACCGGUGGCGAAAGCGCUCUACUGGACCAUUACUGACACUCAGAGGCGAAAGCUAGGGUAGCAAAAGGGAUUAGAUACCCCAGUAGUC
rnacentral:rRNA from 1 species